rnacentral:misc_RNA from 1 species
UGUUUCCGGGGGGGCUUAAGUACAUGAGAGCAAUGGUGAAUAGGACAUUGGAGACAAUUGUAAAACCCACAAGAGCAACUGCGCCAAUCCAGUACCAGUCCUCAUCAGAGAAGAUAUCAAAGUUCUCAAGCACUGCUACGCCUAAUCUAGUAACAUUGUCUGAAGCCUGCAAUAAAAUCAAUUAAUCAAAACGCUUUUAUUAACUUGCUGAAAGGAAAGAAUAAUUUCUAUUUAUAUUAUAUUUGACUAAUAAUAUUCAAUUUGUCUAUGUAGGAUCAUUUUGAGCAACAUACCAGUUUGUCCAUCCACCUUGAAGCAAACAUUUCAUUCACAGAAAUGGCGUUAUAACCAUAGGUUAUGGGUGAUACCCAAUAAGCCCAUGCCCAACCUUUUGGAAUUUGACCUGUCACAAAGAUAUGCAUAUUUUCUCUUAGCUCAGAACUAUUAUUACUUGCUUUUAUACUCGUGCAGUUAUUGGAUUGAUUCAGAGUAAUUCAGCAACUGGGCUUAAAGACAUUAGUGUUCACGCUAACCUUUAGGUAAGAUGAAACCUCCAAGCAUGAAAAUAAGGAGGAGAGCAAAAGCCCCGCCGGUAUUGGCAAUGAUCAUAGUCCUGCACAGUCCAGCGAUGAGCCUAAAGAUCCCAGCUGCCAUUUGCUGGGUCAGAAAUACCAAUGCCAGGUGCUUGAAGAAUCUGCAAAUGGGGUAUCCAAAGUCUCAUGGUUAAUGCUGGAAAUAUCACUCA